rnacentral:piRNA from 1 species
UGCAUUUGCCCAACACAAAUUUUCAGCCA